rnacentral:rRNA from 1 species
UACAGAGGGGGCAAGCGUUAUUCGGAAUUAUUGGGCGUAAAGGGCGCGUAGGCGGCUUGGCAAGUGGAUGGUGAAAUCCCUCGGCUUAACCGAGGAACUGCCGUCCAAACUGCUUUGCUUGAGACCGGGAGAGGUGAGUGGAAUUCCCAGUGUAGCGGUGAAAUGCGUAGAUAUUGGGAGGAACACCAGUGGCGAAGGCGGCUCACUGGCCCGUAACUGACGCUGAGGUGCGAAAGCGUGGGGAGCAAACAGG